rnacentral:lncRNA from 1 species
AGCAUUGAUGGUAAGAGAAAAGUUAACAAUUUCAAGUAUAUGUAUACAAAUAAAGCAGGGAACAAGGAGAAACAUGACAUUGCUCUAUUUCCAGCUCUGUUCCCUUCCUGAAAGCUAGCGUCUGGCAUGCCUGUUGGUUAAUUUCCAGAAGAGUGCCUGGGCAGCAUUAUAUGUCCUCUUUCAUUACAUAAAUUAGCUUCAAGUAUAUAAAUGUAAAUAAACCAAUGAGGCAGAACUUCAUUUCAGUUAUUUAACUCUCCAUUGGUGUGCAUGGGUGCCAGAGGUAAAACGCAAAUUCAUCUAGUUUCUACAGGACAUUCUGUUUUCAGCGGACACAAGAUUUUAAUUUAUGCCCUUUCCCCAUAUGCAUUUCUGAGUGUGCUCAACAGAAGGUGUGUGGAGAGUGUUUGUUCUCAGAGUUUGUCUGCUGGCUCCUUUACGACUGGAGAACAGGUAGUAAAAGAACUCCAGAGACUUGCCUACAUCAGUGAAAAGAAAGAAGCUGCAAGAAGUCUGACCACUAAGGUAAGGGAAACUACUAAGGUAAGGGAAACAUUUCUUCAGUCACAUUUUUACCGCCAACAAUGGAUUUUUUUUUUUUUAAAGUGAAAUGUAAGAAGUCAGGGAAUAUCAAGUGCUGGCAAUUAUUAUUAUCCUUUGUGUGUACUUGAUAUGUGUGAAUUUGAAAAAUGAUUUUAAUAUUGGGAAUUUUAAAAGAAUGACUAGGGGGAGGCGUGCAGUUGUUCUGAAAGGCCUUUAUGCGUGUACCCUACUAGGCGCUGAAGGAAAUGAUGGGUCACAGAUGUAGUCCCAUUCUUUCUAAUUCUCUGAAGAUCUAGGACUAUUGCUUUCCUGACAUGACAUCCCUCCUGAUGUAUCUUUCUAGAACAUCGCAAUUACUAUUUUCACUGCCAAUCUUGUAGCACGCAUUCCGUGCCUCUGACUUGAUCUGGGCUCAUUUGAAGGAUAAUGGACUGACUGCUAUCUCAGCAAACUGAUUCCAAAGGUAAUUGUAAUUUAUGAUCUAUAUGUAUCAUCACUAUUUUCUAAACGGGAAAGUGUGAUGAAAGAAUCAAAUCACUGGCAUUUUCUUUUUAAGGUGUCUACUACACUGACAUCUCCAAAAGUAGGCUUUGCCACAUAACUCAUAAGUUUUGGUUAUUUGAUAGAUUUAUAUAAAUGGCAGGUCAAUUACAAUUAUUAUAUCCAUUUAAGAGAAAAGAAAACAAAGGCCAAGGAGUUUGAUUUCCUUGAGCAAUACAGGCCAUGAUAUAGUAAAGGAGUGUGAUGUGGAUGACCUGUUAAAAUUCACAUGUGCUGCAGUGGAUGAUGUCUGUGACUAUGGAAAGAGUAAAUAAAAAGAUUGAUAGAAAUAUCCCUGUCCUUGAU